rnacentral:rRNA from 1 species
UUGGAGCUUGCUCCGAUCGGAUUAGUGGCGGACGGGUGAGUAACGCGUGAGUAACCUGCCUGCGAGAGGGGGAUAACAACGGGAAACUGUUGCUAAUACCGCAUAACGCAUCGAUUCCGCAUGGAGAUGAUGCCAAAGGGAAACCGCUUGCAGAUGGACUCGCGUCUGAUUAGGUAGUUGGUGAGGUAACGGCUCACCAAGCCGACGAUCAGUAGCCGGACUGAGAGGUUGAACGGCCACAUUGGAACUGAGAUACGGUCCAGACUCC